rnacentral:rRNA from 1 species
GAUGAACGCUAGCGGCAGGCUUAAUACAUGCAAGUCGAGGGACAGCACAGGUAGCAAUACUGGGUGGUAACCGGCAAACGGGUGCGGAACACGUACACAACCUUCCUUCAAGUGGGGGAUAGCCCAGAGAAAUUUGGAUUAAUACCCCGUAAUAUAGUUGAAUGGCAUCAUUUGAUUAUUAUAGCUACGGCGCCCAAUGAUGGGUGUGCGGCUGAUUAGAUAGUUGGCGGGGUAACGGUCCACCAAGUCUACGAUCAGUAGCUGAUGUGAGAGCAUGAUCAGCCACACGGGCACUGAGACACGGGCCCGACUCCUACGGGAGGCAGCAGUAAGGAAUAUUGGUCAAUGGACGCAAGUCUGAACCAGCCAUGCCGCGUGAAGGAUUAAGGUCCUCUGGAUUGUAAACUUCUUUUAUUUGGGACGAAAAAGGGCCUUUCUAGGUCAACUGACGGUACCAGAUGAAUAAGCACCGGCUAACUCCGUGCCAGCCGCCGCGGUAA